rnacentral:lncRNA from 1 species
GAUUCCCAAAAGUUAUAGAGUGAAGAAGCAGAUGCAAAGGAAUGGUUUGACAAGGUUUUGCUUCUAGAGUAGAAACAAUGAUAAAAGCACAUACGUGUCCAUACACACAUGUGUGUGCCCAUGCGUGUAUGUAAUGUGUCUAUAGUGUGUAUACAUAUGACAUUUGCAUGUAAAUGAGAUACGGGUAGGGAACCACUGGGAACAAUACAGAAGAAUAUAUAUAAGACUACAUUAGUUUACCCUUGUAAAGUAUACUAUUUCUUACAGUGGUUGAGGGAGAAGAGGCAAAGGCAGAAGAGAGAUAGCAGGGAGUAAGGAUCGAUGGAGGAAACCAAAAAGCAAAGACAACAUUACACCCAGGGGAAAGCCUGAUGAUGAUCUCACAGAAAGCUUGGGGCUCUUUGAUAUUUAAGCAACAUUUGUUCCACGGGCUUCUCAGACAUGAAACGCCUUAUGAAGAAGAGAGCACUCAGUAGAUGGAUGAGAUUUGGAGAAGUCUGAGAAAUAACACGAGAACGAGCUUACCACAGACAACUGCAAGGCAGCUCUCGAAACCCAGGAGUGCACAUGUCUGUGCAUGAAAGCAGUGUCACAGAGCUGGAAGACUGCACAGACUCACACCGCCCUAAGUGCCAGAACUGGGCAAGUGUUAUCCAUUGUGCAAAGGGACUGGGCUUCCGCCAUGCUAGGCCUCUUAAAAUUGUGCGGUUCCUUCGAGAGCACCUUGCUCCCCGCCACUGCCCCCUCCUUAGCUGUGGCCUGAAAGUGCUCAGCAUCUGUGUGGACCCAGCAAGCCCACAGUGUGUUAGCCCGAGAGUGGGCCUGGAAGAGGCACAGGCCGCAUGCAGGUCUCCACACCUGCUGAGGUGUCCACACCCGAGCAAAGUCAACGCCCCCAUCCACAGGUAUUCAUUUUCACUCAUGUGAUUCAUCACCACUCAUAAAGCCGCUGACUGACUCUCAGCCCCCAGGAAGGAAAGAAGAAAGAAAUCACAGACUUUAGAGCUUCAAAAGCCAAAGUCCUUCAAUAGAUAUUAAGGCUGAAGGACGAUGAUUUGUGAGACCCA